rnacentral:lncRNA from 1 species
CAUUGUCCACCUGCUAAGCAGCCAUGGUGAAGGCAUGCUGGAGCCUCACGUCUAGGUGGAUUUGCUGGGUGGUGGGUAAAGUAGGAAGGAUGAAUUCGUGACUUCCUCCUGCCCACUGAACACCUUGCUGAACACCCCGCACACUCUCCAGGUCACCGAGAUGCGACCUCAGGGAAAAAUCAGCCAAGUCCAGAGAGUCUCGACGACUCCUGGCUAGCAGUUGGUUCACCAGGAAGCUCAACGUAUCCUACAGAUUAUUGGCCAUUGUGGUAGGUUGAAAUUUUGGUUUCAAUUCUUCAUUCUCCCGUGAGAGAUUCGUGUCGUUUCCUCCUGGCCUUGCUCCCAUAUGAGUGAAGUGUAUUCUUCCUACUCUUUGACCUUGGGCUUGGACGUGUAGCUUGCUUUGAUAAUGGGAUGUUGGUGACACAAGCAGUGACCAGAAACAUGCCUGAAUGGUUCUGCUUGUCCUCUCAUGCUCCGUGCUCCACCGUAAACAGAACAUGCCCAGAAGAGCUGUUUCCCGUCAGCCUGGCCCCAGAACAAAGACCUGGAACAGACUUGAACUGGAGCUGGAGCCAGGAACCAAGGCCAGCCAACCCUCAGCCUGAAAGACAGGAACCUGGAAGAAAUUGUCUUCUUUGAGUUUCAAAUGUGCUGUCAAUCCAGUCAUUUCUUGACUUCCUGAAUAU